CGAGGAUAACAUAAUAGAGACAGAUAAAUAUGAAAAUAUCAAGAAAAUCAGCAAAUUAGUAGAGAUGAGAAAGCAGUCACUAAUGAACAUAAUUAGAAGUCCUAAAUAUAUUUUAUUGUAAUUAUAAUAGAAGCUGAUAAUGAUAUAAUAUUGAUUUAAAUUAAUCAAA